GAAUAUUGGACAAUGGGCGCAAGCCUGAUCCAGCCAUACCGCGUGGGUGAAGAAGGCCUUCGGGUUGUAAAGCUCUUUUGUUGGGAAAGAAAAGCAGUCGACUAAUACUCGGUUGUUCUGACGGUACCAAAAGAAUAGGCACCGGCUAACGUCGUGCCAGUAGCCGCGGUAAUACGAUGGGUGCAAGCGUUACUCGGGAUUACUGGGCGUAAAGCGUGCGUAGGUGGUUGUUUAAGUCUGUUGUGAAAGGCCUGGGCUCAACCUGGGAAUUGCAGUGGAUACUGGGCGACUAGAGUGUGGUAGAGGGUAGUGGAAUUCCCGGUGUAGCAGUGAAAUGCGUAGAGAUCGGGAGGAACAUCCAUGGCGAAGGCAGCUACCUGGACCAACACUGACACUGAGGCACGAAAGCGUGGGGAGCAAACA
rnacentral:rRNA from 1 species